GUGAAUUUGUAUCGUAUAGAUUAUGUGAU
rnacentral:guide_RNA from 1 species